GAGUUAGAGGGAACGAGAGAGAGAGAGAGAGAGAGAGAGAGACAGGCAGCAUCAUAGUGACUAACCACUGAAUCCCUUUAAUGCACCAGAAGUGAUAAUCCAACCAGAGAGUUUACCGUAUUCAACUCCAUGAGCGUUGUGUCGAACAUCCGGGUUUUUGGACAGGUACGCUUUGAGAGGAAUUUGAAGGCAGCCAUUUUCUUUCAUUCGCAUCGAGUAUGAGAACGAAAGAUUGGAGAAUUCCUCAGCAAAUCAUUAAAGAGAAAUAUGCCCUGGGAAUUGUCACCUUGUUCCCCUGCUUUCAAAGACCCUCUUUCCAGGAAAGGAUAUGAACACUUUUACGAUAGCCAAAGUGGCUCUGGAUUUCUGGCAUGGUGGCUCAAGACAAUUCAGAGGAAGACAAAACUUGGGUCCAAGGAACCAAAAACACAGAUGGCAAGAGGAGGUGGUCCAAGACAGCAGAGAGAGCUGCCUCAGAUUGGUGGUCAGUUGGAUGAGGAGCGUUGUAAAGAGGUCAUAUCCUUAAUGAACCACACCAGUGAAAUUAUCCUGCAGAAGAUGAAGGAAGCCUUUGAGUAGAGACAGUGCCUCAUUCACAAUCCUGAUGAGUCCCACAACAUAUUCUCAGUGUUUCCAAGGCUGCUAGACACAAAAGAACUGAUAUGUUAAAAUUUCAGCCUCCUCUUUGGACCAGAAACUGCUGCAAACUGUUUGAGAAGUGGCAUACAUCCUUCAAAAGAAAGGUGAUGAGAGAAGCAGAGAGCCUUACAACCACCCCAGUGCUCCAGAGUUUGCUGAGGUCUGCCAGGAAUCAGAACAAUGAUGAGGAUCACCCAGAGUGCGAUGAUAUGGCAUCAUUUCUUCUGCUCCUGCAUAUCCUGCCACCUCAGCCAACUAAAAAGAAAACACAGAAGAUCGGCGCGGCUCAGGCUAUGGACCACAUAGUUGUGUUUCACAAGUCAUGCAGGAGCCUUGAAGAACACCUAGAAAACCAGAGGGCACACCACCAGCCAUACCUUCUUGCUUCUGGAACUGGCAAGCAGGCCAUCAGUACUUACUACGUUGUGAUAGACAAGAGGCUCAUUCCCUGCAAGGGAACAACGUCAUUAGCAGCCUUUGAUGAACUCUUUAAUGUACACUUUGUUGUCAGUGUAAGUUACGAUGAUGCUCUCAACAACAUGUACACAUUCCUCCAGACAAAGGUCUAUAGUAUCAAUGUUGAUACCACUAAAGAGAGUCCAAAGGUGAAUGAAUUGAGAGCCAAAUUCUUGGAACAGUGUAUAUAUGCAACAUAUGUAAGUCACUGUGCAAUGCACUUGGUGCAGUUAUUUCAGCACUUUUUUUGCAUAGGUUAUAUUUUGGCAAAAAGUUUUAUUUUUCUUAAUCUACAGUGUUUGUUUUUGCACAUCAAACAAAGGCUAAUUUGAGCCACGUUCAGAGGUAGAAACUAGGAGCCAAGUUCUUAAACAAUGUAUAGAUAUUUGUCAUAUUUGUAGAUCCCUGCAUGAUGCACCUAGUGCAUUAAUUCAGCACCUUAAGUUUUUUCAUGGGUUAUACAAAAAAAAUGUUAUUUGUGCUCAAGAAGGCUGUUCAUUGAGUUUAAAAGUUAUGCAGUUUUAGAAAGCAUUUAAAUGGUUGUCAUAGUACUGUUAACGUGGGUUCAAGAAACAAUGUUAAUAUGCAAACACCGCAUCAAUCAGAUUUACAGGGCAGUGGUGUCGCCAACACUGUUGUGUUAUCUGUUGUUGAAAGCAUGGAAGAGUAUGUCAGUGAAAUUCAUGCAAAUCUUAAAGAACAAGUAUUAAGUGCAGUGCCUGCUGAUUCAAAGAGAAACAAAGUAUCUGGAGUCUAUGAACAGGUACCAGUAAAUGAGACUUUCAUUUGCAUACCCUUGUUAAAAACUUUAGAGUUCAUUUUCAAGAAUGAAGAAGUGUGUUUCCAAAUUAAUAAAUCUGCUGCUCUUGGUAGCUUUUACCAGGAUUUCUGUGAUGGAAAAUAUUGUAGAAAUCACCCAUUGUAUUCAAAAUCAAAAAAUGCAUUACAAAUUCAAGUUUAUUAUGAUGACUUUCAAACAUCAAAUCCACUA